rnacentral:rRNA from 1 species
ACUACGGGAGGCAGCAGUGGGGGAUAUUGCACAAUGGGGGAAACCCUGAUGCAGCGACGCCGCGUGAGUGAAGAAGUAUUUCGGUAUGUAAAGCUCUAUCAGCAGGGAAGAAAGAAAUGACGGUACCUGACUAAGAAGCCCCGGCUAACUACGGGCCAGCAGCCGCGGUAAUACGUAGGGGGCAAGCGUUAACCGGAUUUACUGGGUGUAAAGGGGGCGUAGGCGGGGAUGCAAGUCUGAGGUGAAAGGCGGGGGCCCAACCCCCGGACUGCUUUGGAAACUGGAUGGCUGGAGUGUAGGAGAGGUAAGUGGAAUUCCUGGUGUAGCGGUGAAAUGCGUAGAUAUUAGGAGGAACACCAGUGGCGAAGGCGGCUUACUGGACUGUAACUGACGUUGAGGCUCGAAAGCGUGGGGAGCAAACAGGAUUAGAUACCCUAGUAGUC